rnacentral:rRNA from 1 species
GUCGAGAAUCUUUCCCAAUGCGCGAAAGCGUGAGGAAGCGACGCCGCGUGAGCGAAGAAGGGCUUCGGCCUGUAAAGCUCUUUUACGUGGGAACAAUUUUUGAGCGUACCACGUGAAUAAGAGGUUGCUAAACUCGUGCCAGCAGCCGCGGUAAGACGAGUGCCUCAAGCGUUAUCCGGAUUAACUGGGCGUAAAGGGUCCGUAGGGGGUUUUAAUAGUCCUUAGUUAAAUUUCACCGCUCAACGGUGGAGCUGCUCGGGAAACGUUAAAACUAGAGAGUGUGAGAGGCUGAAGGAACGUACGGUGUAGGGGUGAAAUCCGUUGAUAUCGUACGGAACACCAAAGGCGAAGGCAAUCAGCUGGCGCACUUCUGACCCUGAGGGACGAAAGCGUGGGGAGCAAAAAGGAUUAGAUACCCGGGUAGUCC